rfam:Pseudomonas sp. VI4.1 NODE_141_length_8029_cov_18.0825, whole genome shotgun sequence.
UACGCGAUGCCGAAUUCGGGUCGCGGAGACAAAAAAACUUGCUGAUCUGUUUUCAGGAGAUUUGAAUCAUGAGC